AGAACGAACGCUGGCGGCAUGCCUAACACAUGCAAGUCGAACGAGACCUUUCGGGGUCUAGUGGCGCACGGGUGCGUAACGCGUGGGAAUCUGCCCCUUGGUUCGGAAUAACAGUUAGAAAUGACUGCUAAUACCGGAUGACGACGUAAGUCCAAAGAUUUAUCGCCGAGGGAUGAGCCCGCGUAGGAUUAGCUAGUUGGUGAGGUAAUGGCUCACCAAGGCGACGAUCCUUAGCUGGUCUGAGAGGAUGAUCAGCCACACUGGGACUGAGACACGGCCCAGACUCCUACGGGAGGCAGCAGUGGGGAAUAUUGGACAAUGGGCGAAAGCCUGAUCCAGCAAUGCCGCGUGAGUGAUGAAGGCCUUAGGGUUGUAAAGCUCUUUUACCAGGGAUGAUAAUGACAGUACCUGGAGAAUAAGCUCCGGCUAACUCCGUGCCAGCAGCCGGC
rnacentral:rRNA from 1 species